rnacentral:rRNA from 1 species
UGGGACUCGGUAGUGGCGCACGGGUGCGUAACGCGUGGGAACCUGCCUUUAGGUUCGGAAUAACUCAGAGAAAUUUGAGCUAAUACCGGAUAAUGUCUUCGGACCAAAGAUUUAUCGCCUUUAGAUGGGCCCGCGCUAGAUUAGAUAGUUGGUGGGGUAAUGGCCUACCAAGUCGACGAUCUAUAGCUGGUCUGAGAGGAUGAUCAGCCACACUGGGACUGAGACACGGCCCAGACUCCUACGGGAGGCAGCAGUGGGGAAUAUUGGACAAUGGGCGAAAGCCUGAUCCAGCAAUGCCGCGUGAGUGAUGAAGGCCUUAGGGUUGUAAAGCUCUUUUACUAGGGAUGAUAAUGACAGUACCUAGAGAAUAAGCUCCGGCUAACUCCGUGCCAGCAGCCGCGGUAAUACGGAGGGAGCUAGCGUUGUUCGGAAUUACUGGGCGUAAAGCGCGCGUAGGCGGCUUAUCAAGUCAGGGGUGAAAUCCCGGAGCUCAACUCCGGAACUGCCCUUGAAACUGGUUGGCUAGAAUAUUGGAGAGGUAAGUGGAAUUCCGAGUGUAGAGGUGAAAUUCGUAGAUAUUCGGAAGAACACCAGUGGCGAAGGCGACUUACUGGACAAUUAUUGACGCUGAGGUGCGAAAGCGUGGGGAG